rnacentral:rRNA from 1 species
AGGGAGCGUAGGCGGCUGAUUAAGUCAGCGGUGAAAGGUAGCAGCUUAACUGUUUUACAUGCCGUUGAUACUGGUUAGCUUGAGUUGACAGAAGGCAGAUAGAAUUCCUGGUGUAGCGGUGAAAUGCUUAGAUACCAGGAGGAAUACCGAUUGCGAAGGCAGUCUGCUGCAGUCACACUGACGCUGAGGCUCGAAGGUGCGGGGAUCAAACAGGAUUAGAUACCCCUAGU